rnacentral:lncRNA from 1 species
UAACCCUGCAGCACUUGUCAUGUUCUAUGAUCCUCUCUAGCUUAUGUGCAUAUCUCCCACACUUCUUAGGAGGGGCAGGGGGACACCUGAUUCACUCAUAUCCUCAAUGCUCCAUACAGACCUGGAAUGUCCAUGUUGACUAUAUGAAUACAUCUGGCAUUGAAUGAAACCUCAGAUAAGCAAAGAACUAAGCCCCAGAUUCUUGAUAUACUGAUCCAGGGCUUCAGAUUACUCUGGGACUGGCUGGCUCCAGUAAUCAUCCUAUGCUAUAUACCUAUAAGUGGGAGGACAGGUGGUACUUUAUUCCAAGGACUAUAUUUUCUGUUAUUUCUUGGUCAACCUGGUUGAGAACCCAAGGAACCAGACUUCAAAGACAUAGGUAUGGUGCUUUCUCUCCAAAAACUUCUUCUAGAUUAUCUGCCAGGUACAUGGUGGGAGCUUUAGUAUCUAUAUUCUUUCCUAGUACAUGAAGUCCUGCCUUGAUAACCACCAAGUGGGAGGAACUAUCAUACCAGUCUUCAUCCCAGGAGUGGGACUGCAUAAAAGACCUGGUAGUGUUGGCCAUAUACCAUCUGAACAGUUCCAUUCAAAGGCAUAGGUAGUGGCUCAAAUCCUCUGAGCAUAUAUACAGAAGAGCUUGGAACAAAGACUCAUCAGAUCCUCUUUCUUCCCUUCCAGAAUUUUGAUGAUCUUUUGAAAGAUAAGAGGUUUAACACAGCAGCCAGCUGCAAUGUAACCCAAUUCCAGACUAAUAUUAAUUUUGGUAGACUUUUUGAGUUAUAAGCAACAGAAGCAGAUUUUUUCAAACUUAAGCAGAAUAAGAAUUCUCCAGAAGGGUUUGGGGUUGUCACCCCAGGAGUAGAACCUAAAAAAAAAAUAUUAGGUUUCAAGUCAUUUUGGGCAGAAGGUAAUUCCAGAAAGCACUGGUAGGAGAGUGAAGAUAAACAAAGCAGGAAAAAGAAGGAAAUCAAUAAAGUGUGCAUUGUUAAGAUCCCCAUUGGAGUAAAGUAGACCUUGAUCCCAGUAGAUACAUUGGGAGACUAAAUGGAACACAUCUCAUGUUAUCCCACUGAGGGGUGAGAGACUUGGGGUAUACAUCCACCAACUUCUCUCCAAAUGUAUCAAAAAAAAAAACCUGAUACAUUUCACUUUUCACUAAUUUUCUUAUGGUAUAGGUGAGCAGAGAAACUCAGAUUCUCACUGAGUCACUGAUCAAAGACUCCUAGAAAAGAGACCCCUUAACUUCCUGGCACUAUUGGCCUGUCCCUUUCAUGUCUCUGGGCAUCCAGAGUCAACUUCUAGGCAAAGAACUGUAGGGGCUGCGGAUGGAAGCAAUAGUUAUGCUCAGAAAUAGUGGUAAGUGUUUAUGGAUAGGACACUACAGUCCCUGCUACACACACACACACACACACACACACACACACCCCUACAUAAAUUAGAUGAAAAUGUGAUGAACCAGACCCUCCAAAGAAUAAGAUACAAAAACCUUAGAAUCAUAUGUCUGCUUUCUGACUAGGGAAUGUGAGACUUUUUAAUGGACAGUCUCAUAAAGAUUGUAUCCAUUGAGGGAGAGUAGGUCUCCAAAGCUAACUUGGGAUUCUAUUGCCAGAAGGAGAAUGUUGCUUGUCUGACAAAAGCCACAGAUGUCACUAAACCUUCCUUUUUCAUUACUGAUCCCUCAUUUAUAGGAUGAAUUCACUCACAGGAAUCCAGAGUUUCAUGACUAGACCAACAAGGGCCCCCAAUGUGUCCAGGACACAGAGGUGCUACCCAGAGUAUAAUGGCUCCUACUCAUGGAGGUCAGGUGAAGUGAUGAGUGCCACCUCCUUUCUGGCCUAUGCAAUGCCUUAGGAGUGAGCCACAAGAUGGUGGUGUAUCAGAACCUGGGCUCUGAAGUCUUUAGACCUUGUCUAUAUAACUUUGGACAAGUCAUUUUACCUCUGAGUCUUAGUUUCUCAUCUGUAAUCAGGGCUCCCACGUGUGGUCAUGUGGAAUGUGUUCUGUUCAUCUCCAGGGGAUGCCAUUCACGUCAUAUUCCAAGGGCACCACAGUUUGCAUUAAACUGGGUUGAUGGCAGGUUGGGUAUCCAGUGGGAACCUCCGCAGACCAUGCAACAUGCCAAAGGAUCCUGAGAUGUGCUGGAGAGCACCAGAACUUUGUUUCCAAUCUUCUACUCACAUUCUUCUCUUUAGGGGCUGUAAUUAUGAUCGCUUGCUUUAUAGACAGGCUUACUCCUCACUGUUAAGGAAGAAGAAAUAUGACUUCAGUAUUUAAGUUCCAACUUUGUGAACUAAAAAAUCAUAUGGGCUGGAGGUCUAGCUCAUUGGUAGAACACUUCCCUAGCAUGUGCAAAGUUUCAGGUUCAAUCCCCAGCACCACAAAAACAAAACAAUACACACACACAAAUUUUGUGACUAGGUAUGGUGUACACAUCUGUAAUCCCAGCUACCUGUGAGAUUGAGACUAAAGGACUGUAAAUUCAAGGCCAUUCGGAUAAUUUAACAAGAUCCUGUUUUAAAAGUAAAUAAAUAAAAUAGGGCUAGCUCAGUGAUAGAGCACUCCUGGGUUCAAUCCCCAGUAGUGCAAACCAACCAACCAACCCAGACAGGACUUCUCAGUCUCCUUUAGUGUGUAAACACCUAAGAGAAGACUGAUUAGACUGGGUAAGUCAUGUGCUCUUCUCUUAGACUAAUCCACAUGACCAAAGAAUUGAGCUUUUCUGAUUGACCAGGCUGAGGUCACACACACCUUAUUGUUGCUAAAGAAGCAGGAUAAACGAUUAGCAAUUUUGUGUCCUAGCAAAAGACACAAUGCAAAACCCCCCAAAGUUGAAGUCCUCAGUCAGACCUGGGUGUCCUGGAAUUUUUUCCUACCUGUGACCCUUCCUUUUUAUUUUCAGUGUGCUCCCUGGCUGGUACACAACCUCUCGAGGCAGCAUAUUUACUUCUAUUUACAACUGCACGUGAUCUCAGCAGUUGGUGGACGUAGAUCCAGAGACAGGUGAGGGAGGGGCGAGUUCUCAUGUUCCAAGGCGCUCAAUAAAUAUUUACAGUGUGUUGACAGGUGAGGUAUUAGGGCUUAUUGGCCUCUCCCUAGUGAUUGUCCAGCCCAGCCUGAAAGUUACCCAGAGACCCCUGCUGCCCUCUAUCUGUGGCAGAUUGUGGCCCAGGUAUUAUUUCCUGCCCAUCCCUUCCUUCCUUGCCUGCAGGAAAGAUCCUGUAUCCUUAGCAGAUGCUCCUCUUAACCUGUCCAGCAGCUGCUAUUUUCUUCCUCUGGAGUUCCAAGACCCAAGGACUGAGGAGGAAAAUGGCAAGAUGAAAAGAGCCAGGACCAACCCUUGUCUCAGAUGGCUUUGAUACUUACCUGCUGUGUGACCUUGAGUAAAUUCCUGUCUCUUGAGUGCCGGUUUUCUGGUUUUCUUGUUUAUAAUAGGGGGAUAUCAACAGCAACUGACCAGGAUUAAGAGAAUAAUUUUUAAGUGCUGUAACCAAGCUUCUGGCCCACUGAGAGUACUUCUACAUGGUGGCCAUAGCAUUAACCAUGCUUGUGGACUUGGUUGAGGGAAGGGAGACUAUCUUUUUUUUUUUUUUUUUGGUACCAGAGAGUGAACCCAGGGGCACUUAGCCACUGAGCCACAUUUCCAUCCCUGAAAAAUAUUUUUCUUAAAUUUUUUUGAGACAGGUUCUGCUAAAAUGCUUAGGUCCUAGCUAAGUUUCUGAGACUGCCUUGAAUUUGGCAAUUUUCCUGCCUCAGCCUCCCAAACUGCUGGCAUUACAGACAUAUGCCACUAAGCCUGUCAAAGGAGAGUAUCUUUUCUUUUUGGGGGGAGGGGUUACUGGAACUCAGGGGCACUUGACCACUGAGCAACAUCCCCAGCCCUAUUUUGUCUUUUAUUUAGAGAUAGGGUCUCACUGAGUUGCUUAGCACCUCGUAUUGGCUGAGGCUGGCUUUGAACUCACAAUCCUCUUGUCUCAGCCUUCUGAGCCGCUGGGAUUAUAGGCGUGUGCCACCACACCCGGCAGGAGAGUAUGUUCUUUUUUGUAUCAGAGAUUGAACUCAGGGCCACGCAAUCAUGAUCACAUCCCCAGUCCUUUUGUAUUUUAUUUAGAGACAGGGUCUCAUCGAGUUGCUUAGUGCCUCACUUUUGCUGAGGCUGACUUUGAACUCACCAUCCUCCAACUUCAGCCUCCCCAGCCACUGGGUUUACAGGCCUGCACCACUGCACCCAGCCUGGCAAAAGAGUAUCUUUAAGGCAACAGAUUUCUCCUUUGAGCCCCUCAAAUCAGCCACAAAUCUACUUAAUUCCUUGCAGCACCACUUCUAGCCAAACCAGAGAAAUAUCCUCAAGUCAAAGGAAGCCUCAAGAUUUCUACCAUCCUAAGAGACCAAACCCAAGGACAACCAGAUACAUUUGAAGGUCCUUGGGAUCUCUGGGUUCAUUCAACUGUGUUCCCUGCUUGUCCUUCCUUGCUGACUUGCUAACAAGUCUCUUAGAUCUAGGAGCUAACACAUCUAUCCAUUGCAUCUGGCCUCCUUGACCAGGCCUGUCAUUAUGCAGCAGAUACUUCUCACCUCCCAAAGGUGAGGUGAGAGAGCUGGAGACAGAUGAGUCUGAAGCCUUGUCAUUCUGUGUCUUUGGAAUUAUACAGGAAGGCCAUGCAAUUUGAUUACUUAGGUAGAUUAGAAGAAAUGGUCAUUAUAUAUUGGGAGUUAAUUAAAAUAUGCUCCAAGCCCUGUGCCAAAGCUUUACAUGUAUUGCACAAUGCUUGCAAAAAUCCUCUGAGUUAGGCCCUGUAAUUAUAUUCAUUUUAUAGAUGAGAAAAUGAAGGUUUAGAAGUAUUAAAUGGCAGGUCCAAAGUCUCCAGGACUGUAAGCAGCAGAGUUGGCAUUCAAACCAAUUCCUGUCUGACUUUAAAUAUCAGAUCCUUACCAGAUUCCUCCACCUACCAGAGAUUCUGGUCUCAUAUGUACACACCCAGCAGCCCAUCUUUGGCCUAGUAAUUAAAAUGGUAGAGGCAGAAGGUGCUACACAAUUUGAAGCAAAUGUUCUGGAAAAUUUCUGUGGUGGAAAUAUGCUUGGUAGGAAGUUGCCAAAAUAGUCAAGUGUGGAAAGAAACCUCCUAGCAGUUGGGCCCAGCUGAGGUAUAGUAGUCCCUGAAAAAUAGGGCCUCUGUAGAAGGCAGUCAAUCCAGGGGCCCAGGUAAAAGGUGGGAAAAAUUUUCAAACAUGCUCUGCAACAAUGGUAGGUCAAGCAUGCAUGGUUCAUGCAGCCCCAACUUGACAUUCUCCCAGACACAACCACCUGCAGCACCUCGAGACAGGCUAAGUUUAGACACUGAGGUCCCAAAAAACUGCCCCCAUUCAGCCACCUGCACCCUCCCCACCAAUAUCUACAUAGCACUUAUGUUGUCCCAGAUACUGUUCUAAGCCUUUCCCACAAGUGAACGUUUAAUUCUUAUGAAAAACCUAUGAAAUAGGUACAGUUAUCCCCACUUUACAGAUCAGGCAAUUAAGGCACUGGGUGAGGAAUCUUUUUUUCCUGAAGAGAUUCAUUAUAAUUGAAGAGGAGAAAUAUUUAAUACAUCAGAACAAAAUCAAACAUAUAGAAAGGAUCAAUAACUACAAAUAACUCAUGAGAAAACAUGUUUUUGCUCAGUUGCUACAUAAACUUCUCACAUGAUAAAAGCCUUUGAUUGGAAACAUUCCAGGAAAGCAUAUCUUUCACUCAGAGUAUUUGGAAUAUUUUUCUUUUCAUAACUCUGUAUUUCAUGACAGAGAGCUUGGCCAUAAUAUUCAAAAUGAGUAUUCUGCAUUAUUUCUUCCUGAUUUCUCAGAUAAUUAAGAUAAAUUAAAAAGUCAUAACACAUUAAGAAUGCAUUUUGCAUUAGUCUAAGAAAUCUAGUAUCAUCCAGGGAGGAAUCUUGAUUGUAGCCCCACAGCUGAGGUUGGAGGCAGGUAUCCUGUCUCCACAGGGCAAGGAGCUUUAGCAGCUCUUUGAUGUUUGCCCAAGCAGAGGUAGAGAGAGGAGUGCGCCAUGUCUUGGUGUGUGAGAUCUCAAAAUUGUCUUGUCCCUUCCCUCCCACUCCCCAGUGAUUUCUCCUCUGGGCCCUGAAGUGACCUCUCUCACUUCUGCCUUCCCUCUCUGGAGAAUGUGGUGUGACAGUGGAGUCUCCUGCCCUCCUCUUCCUUCCCAGGCUGGGAGAGGAAUCCUUGCACAUGCAUCAAGAGCUGCUCCCUGUGUGUUCAGCUUUAGGGUCUUUCACAUCCGUUUCUCUCUGGGAAUCUGAGGACCCAGAGCUGCUCCAAGGAGAGGUAGAAUUGAAGGAAGGGGCAGGGUAAUUUAGAGAGGGAUCACAGAUUUAUGAAUAUGUCAGCACUGGAUUUGAACCCUUGCUUGGCCACUCACUGUCAUAGAUGGAAUAGUGCUAACUUCUCCCAAAGAUUUUGUGUGUGUGUGUGUGUGUGUGUGUGUGUGUGUGUGUGUGUGUGGUGCUGGGGAUUGAACCCAGGCCCUGUGCAUGUGAGGCAACCACUCUGCCAACUGAGCUAUAUCCCCAGCAAUCCCCCAAAGAUAUUUACAUCCUUGUCCUUAAAACCUGUGAUUAUGUUACCUCACAUGGUCAAAUGGCCUUUGCAGCUGUUAUUAAGUUUAGGAUCCCAAAAUGGAAAAAUUAUCUCAGAUUAUCCAAGUGGGCUUCAGCCACAGAGGUCCUCACAUAAAGAAGGCAGGAGAGUCAAAAGACAGGUGACACUAGAUGCAAAAGUCAGAAUGACAUGGACCCAGGAGCCAACGGAUGUAAACAGACCCUAGAUGUUGAAAAAAGUAAGGAACAGAUCUCUGCUACAGCCUCUAGAAGGAACACAGUCCUGCUGACCCAUUUUAGACUUCUGGGCUCCAGAAUAUAAGAUAAUACAUUUGUAUCAAUUGAAACCCUCAGGGUGUAGUACUUUGUUAUAGCAACAGUAAGAAACUAGUUUAUUAACCAUAUGACUUUGAACAAAUUCCUCAACAUUAAAUUCCCUCAUGUGUGAAAUAAUAACACCUUGAAGUGUUGUAUUAGAGAAAAUAUUAUAUCAAAAAUCUGGUUUAUGACAAAACUUUAUAAAUAAUGUGUUUAUGAGAAAGAGGAAGAAAAGCAAGGCAUGGUGGUACACCCCUGUAGUCUCAGCUACUCAGGAGGCUGAGGCAGGAGGAUCACAAGUUCAAGGCCAGUAUUGGCAACUUAGUGAGACCCUGUCUCAAAAUAAAAAGGGCUAGGGGUGUAGCUCAUGGAUAUCACACUAACCUAGCAUGCAUGAGGCCCUGGGUUCAAUCCCUAACACACACACACUCACACACACACACACACAGAGAGAGAGAGAGAGAGAGAGAGAGAGAGAGAGAGAGAGAGAAUGUAUAGGAAAGAAUGGAGGAGAAGCAGGAAGAGAAAAAGAGAAGUCGUGGUAAAACUACAGUUGACUCCACAUUAUGGCCAGUCCCUGGUGGACAUGGGUUUUAUGAAAACGAAGUCUACCCUAGACCCAUCAUCUGGCAUUAAUUCAUUUUUGACUUCAGGACACUUUUUUUUUUUUUUUAAUACUGGGGAUUGAACCCAGGGCUGCUUUACCGCUGAGCUACAACCCCAGUGCUUUUUAUUUUUUUAAGUUUUGAGGUCUCAAAAGCUAAGUUGCUUAGGAUCUUGCUAAAUUGCCAAAGCUGACCUUAAAUCUGUAAUCCUCCUGCCUCAGACUCCCAAAUUGCUGGGAUUACCACCAUCCCUGGAAGACUUGAGGACUCUCUUAUCUCCCUUAGGUGGGUCAGGGGCAACCUCUGAAAGCGUUGCCUCAUGAAUGAAAAACGGGUAAAGAACAAGUAUAAGGACCUCCCCAACAUAUGACUCUGGCACCCACAAUUGAUGGAAAAGAUCAGAUUUGACUUCUGACCUUCCAAUAUUCCUGAUUUGACUAACAUCCCCUCUGAGGGGAUGUUCAAGUUGCAAAUCCCACAUGAAUCCUUCUUUGCAUAGAAAUUGAGCAAUUGGUGUGAGUCAACUCUUGUUAUUCAGAUAGCCAUCUGCCUCUGGUUUCUCCACAUCUUCAGCAUUUCUCAUUCCUUCUCCUUCCCUUCUUUGUUUUUAUUUUUCUUUCUUUCUUUCUUUCUUUUUUUUUAGUGAGAGAGAAUUUUUUAAUAUUUAGUUUUUGGCGGACACAACAUCUUUGUUUGUAUGUGGUGCUGAGGAUCGAACCCGGGCCGCACGCAUGCCAGGCGAGCACGCUACCGCUUGAGCCACAUCCCCAGCCCCUAUUUUUCUUUCUUUUAUCUUGUGUGUGUAUGUGGUGCUGAGGAUUGAAUUAAGGGCUUUGCACAUGCUAGGCAUGUGGUCUACCACUGAAUGACACUCUCAGCACCCUUUUAACAGUCUAGGUAGUAUAAAAUGAUACUUGCAUUUUCCUAAAGAAUAAUAAUUUUUUUUGGAAUUUUUUUCAUGUUGUACUUUUUGGCUAUUUGCACAUCUUCCUUUGCUCACUUAUAUAAAUAAAGUUAGUCAUCUUAUUAUUGAGUAAAUUUAUUGCUGGUGGAUAUAUAAAAGGAUACAACUAAUCUGGAAAACUCUUCUGGCAGUUUCUUUAAAAAAAAUGACACAUAUAUCUGUCCUAUGACCCAGCAUGGAAUCAUUCAUGAUAAAUUAAAAAAUAUUGUCCACACAAAGGCUCAUAUUUAAACAUUGAUAGUAGUUUUAUCUGUAAUAGUCAAAAAGUGGAAACAGCUCAUGUUUGGUGCAUAGAUAAACUGUGGUACAUCCCUUCAGUGGAAUACUAUUCAGCAAUAUCAUAAAUUAAUUAUUGAUAUGUAUUACAACAUGAUUGAGUGUCAAAAUGUGAUUUUCAGGGACUGGGGUUGUAGCUCAGUGGUAGAUCAUUUUCCUUGCAUGCAUGAGGCACUGGGUUCGAACUUCAGCACAACAUAAAAAUAAAUAAAGAUAUUGUGUCCAUCUACAACUAAAAUUUUUUUUAAAUGUAAUUCCCAGAAGAAAAAAAACACAAGAGUAUACACUGUAUAAUUCCAUGCUUAUGAAGUUCUACAAAAUACAGUGUCAGAAACAGAUAUGUUGUUGCUUUCAGGGUAGAGCAUGGGAGGAUUUAGUAGAAAUGACAGGAUGGAACUUUCUGGGGGGAAGGAAAUGCUUUAUGUAUUCUUAGAGUGGUGAUUACAUAAGUGUAUAUACUUGUAAAUACAUCAAAUUAAGCAGGCAUGGUGGCACACGCCUGUAAUCCCAGCAGCUCACAGCUCAGGAGGCUGAGGCAGGAGAAGAGAGUUCAAAGCCAGCCUUAGCAAUUUAGUGAGGUCCUAAGUAGCUUAGCAAGAUCCUAUCUCAAAAUAAAAAGAAAACGGGCUGGGGUUGUGGCUCAAUGGCUAAGCACCCCUGGGUUAAUCCCUGGUACCAAAAAAAAAAGAAUCAAUCAAAUUAAAUACGGUUGUUUUCUGUAUAAUAUUUCAUUCAACAACAGGCAGCACAUUCAAUGAUGGUUCCAUAGAUUAUGAUGGAGCUGAAAAAUUUCUUUCACCUAGUGAUGUUCUAGCGUUGUAUCAUCAUGGUGCAUUACUCAAGUGUUUAUAGGAAUACUGGUGUUAACAAACCUACUGCACUGUCAGUUACGUACAAGUAUAGCAAUUACGUGUUGUUCAAGAUAUUUUAAAAUGAUAAUAAACAAAAAUGUUACUAGCUUGUGUAUUUACCAUACUAUGAUUUUUGUUAUUUUAGUGUGUACUCCUACUUGAGAAAAAAAAAAAGCUUACUGUAAAACAAUAUGCUUUGUGAUACCUCCACCAACCACAUACAUCUCAUGUUUACUGCACCACUUGAUUUCAUCAAAAGGCAAUGUGCCAUGAUUGACCUAUACCAUCUAGAUCAGUGUAAGUAUACCCUAUGAUGUUCACACAACAAAAUUGCCUAAUGACACAUUUCUCAGAACACAUCCUGGUCAUUAAGUAACGCAUGACUGAAUUUUAAAUAUGUUUAUUUCAUUGUAUGUAAAUUAUAUCUUGUUUUUUAAAAAAAUGCUAUGUUGUGCACAUAUAAAUAUGUAACAAUGAAUCCACUAUUAUGUAUAAUUAUGCACCAAUAAAAACUAUAUGGGAAAACAAAACAAAUAAGAAAAAAUCUUGAAUGAUACCUCAAUUUGAACUGCUACCACCAGGUGGCAAUAAUGCCUAAAUCCCAAGAUUUCAACUGUUCAAUUUGUGCAAUGGCUAAGAUCAUUCUACUUGUGAGUGUUCUUGAAAGCAUUUGGUAUCAUCUUGUGGGCAUGCAUUUUACAUUUCAAUCAACAGUAUUGUGUUGGAGUUCUCUUUCUGUUCCUUACUUCUUUUCCUCCCAAUUCAGCAUCAUGUUUUGAAGAUGUCUUUAUGUUGCUGUAUGUAUAUCUAGUUCAUUGCUCCUUACUGUGGUAGAUUAUAAAGUGUAAAUACAUCACAUUUUUACUUAUAUUAAUGAUAAUUUCAAUUAACAAUCAUUUACCCAUUGCUCUUCAAUCACCACAAAUAUUUUACCGUCAAAAAUACCUUCUUACAUGUCUCAUAAUAGACCUGUGUGAGAAUUUCUCUAAUUAUGUUACCAGGAUUGGGAUUCCCCUUCUCUAUUCAUGUUUAUCUGUUGGUACCCUUAUCACCUUCUUUGUGGCAGGUUAGCCCCACAAAUGCCUUCAGUUUUGUGGUUGUUGUUUUGGUGCUAAACCCAGUUAAAUUUAAACAAUGUCCUAAACUUUUGAAUUAAAGGAAAUAUUUGCUG